GACGAACGCUGGCGGCGUGCUUAACACAUGCAAGUCGAACGGAAAGGCCCUGCUUUUGUGGGGUGCUCGAGUGGCGAACGGGUGAGUAACACGUGAGUAACCUGCCCUUAACUUUGGGAUAACUUCAGGAAACUGGGGCUAAUACCGGAUAGGAGCUCCUGCUUCAUGGUGGGGGUUGGAAAGUUUCGGCGGUUGGGGAUGGACUCGCGGCUUAUCAGCUUGUUGUUGGGGUAGUGGCUUACCAAGGCUUUGACGGGUAGCCGUCCUGAGAGGGUGACCGGCCACAUUGGGACUGAGAUAAGGCCCAGACUCCUACGGGAGGCAGCAGUGGGGAAUAUUGCACAAUGGGCGGAAGCCUGAUGCAGCAACGCCGCGUGCGGGAUGACGGCCUUCGGGUUGUAAACCGCUUUCGCCUGUGACGAAGCGUGAGUGACGGUAAUGGGUAAAGAAGCACCGGCUAACUACGUG
rnacentral:rRNA from 1 species